ACUACCGAAUCUCACCCAAAACUAUUCUAUUUUCAUUAAAGGAAAUAAAGAAGACCAAUAAUUUUAGCAACUUUAAAAAGUUAGCGGGAACUCUUUGUUAUUCCUUAACUUAGAAACUUAUUGGAGUAUAAAUUAAGGUGUGUUCUAAUUCUACGGUGAAGCAAACCUGCUGAUAAGACUUAAAACAGCCUUAAAAGUGACAUGCCUUACCCCAACCAACAUACCAUACAGUCCCGGAAAGUUCUCAAGGAAGAGGUGCAGCUAUUGAGAAUGAACUACAAAAUAGUUCGGAAAAAUAUGAGUCAAACAAUCUCAACGCUUAUCCAGUACUGUAAUGAGAAUGCACCCAAUGACCCACUGAUACACCCGGUCAAGGAAAAUCCAUUUAAAGAAAAACGACUCUGCAUAAUUUUGUGAAUGAGACAAACGUUUUGCACAUUUUAUCAAGAUGUUUUUUUUUUCUAAAUUUAUUUUUGGUCCCACGAACUUGGUCUUUUUGUGCCAUUCCUACUCUACCACCGCCAUAUGGGGCGGGGGAAUAACUUCUUUCCAUAUUCUACAUCCUCUUUUGAGGAAAUUCUAACAAACACACACACACACACACACACACACACACACACACACACACAAUAUAUAUA
rnacentral:lncRNA from 1 species